rnacentral:rRNA from 1 species
GACGAACGCUGGCGGCGUGCCUAACACAUGCAAGUCUGGGAGAAUUGGGUAGCAAUAUCCAUUGUAAACCGGCGCACGGGUGAGUAAUAUAUAGGUAAUAUGCCUUUUGGUUUGGAAUAACCCCGCGAAAGCGGGGCUAAUACCGGAUAAUACAGCGAUUCCGCAUGGAGUUGCUGUCAAAGCUUCGGCGCCAAGAGAUUAACCUGUAUCCCAUUAGAUAGUUGGCGAGGUAACGGCUCACCAAGUCUGCGAUGGGUAGCUGAUCUGAGAGGAUGAUCAGCCACACUGGAACUGAGACACGGUCCAGACUCCUACGGGAGGCAGCAGUGAGGAAUAUUGCGCAAUGGAGGAAACUCUGACGCAGCGACGCCGCGUGAAGGAUGAAGGCCCUCUGGGUUGUAAACUUCUGUAGAGAGGGAAGAAUUUUUCGCCUUCGGCGAAUUGACGGUACCUCUAAAGUAAGGGUCGGCUAAACUACGUGCCAGCAGCCGCGGUAAU